AAACCACGCAGAUUGAAGAUCCCCGGGUGCAAUGGCGGCGGGAGCAGGAGCACAUGCUGAAGGAUUAUCUGGUGGUGGCGCAGGAGGCCCUGAGUGCACAAAAGGAGAUCUACCAAGUGAAGCAGCAGCGCUUGGAGCUUGCACAGCAGGAGUAUCAGCAGCUGCAUGCCGUCUGGGAGCACAAGCUGGGCUCCCAGGUCAGCUUGGUCUCUGGUUCGUCAUCCAGCUCUAAGUAUGACCCUGAGAUCCUGAAAGCUGAAAUUGCCACAGCAAAAUCCCGGGUUAACAAGCUGAAGAGAGAGAUGGCCCACCUCCAGCAGGAGCUACAGUUCAAAGAGCGUGGCUUCCAGACCCUGAAGAAGUAAGUCCGCCCUGCAGUGCCGAGCAUGGGGGUUGCCCCUCAUCCGUGUCCCCUGCUGUCCUCCUGGUCCCCCCCGCCUCCUUCAGUCUCAUUCCACCCUUCUCAGAAUGGGGCUUCCCUACCAUGCAAUUCCAGUUCUGCUCCCUCGGCAUUUACUGAAGAUCCUGUCACCCUAGCUUGAGGUUGAGAAAGAGAAAAGGAAAUCUCAUCAUUGUCCUCUGAAUUCUUGAAUCCACUGGGGUCUGUUCCAUUCAUCUGAGUGUUGCCAGCCAGUCACAGAAACAAGCAUCGCCAGACAUGGUCUUUGCAGCUGUCUCAGCCCUUCUGGUAUAUCCGGGGCAAUCUGAUAGGUGCACACACACAAAACCACCUCUUUCCAUGGCCCCUAAAAGUGAGCAGCGACUCUAGCUAGUGAGCUCCCCUGAGCAACAAGGAUCUCUUCCAUAGCAAACAAAUCACUGGCAGAGUGGGUAGGAUGCCAUGCACGCUGUGCCUUUGGGGGGGACUUCAGGAGUUGCCUUUGACCAAAUGUCCUUUUCACUGUGAAAAGCUGACUUCCAGCCAAGCAAGAUACUGCUCUGUUGUUUCUUUAGAGAAGAAGUGUCCAUGGCCACUAAUGUGAUUUUUUUACCAGCUAAGAUUUGGUGAGCAGGCACUCUGUGCCUGGGGGACCUUAUCAUAGCUCUGUAAGGAUUGCUCCUUUAGCUGACAUCACUACAGAUGGGGAAACUGAGUCACAUAGUAAUGCUGAGAAGUAUUAGUUUAUUGUGAUUAACUACAUGUAUCACCAAGGCUUAUGCACUGAGAAGUCACGUUCAGUACAUCCAGUAGGUUCAUGGGACAUUUGGGACAGCAGUGCCUGGGGUAGCCCUCUUGGAAGCUCCAAGGACAGCUGGUAGACGUCUCUGCUCUAAGGGACGUCCAUUGAGAUUCCCAGGGAAGCCAAGUCUGUACAGACAGCAGCUUCUGUAGACACUUGCCUUUUCUCUCUCCCUGACUGCACCUUGUCCUGCUUCUCUGGACCUCAGUCCACUGCCACCACUCUGCAGCCACAGCCCGGAGCCUUUGGGUGUCUGGCUGCAAGCGCUCUUAAUCGAGGAGGCUGUGACCACCAUUCAAGGGUCCCAUAGGUUCUUAUCCAUAGCUCCCCACUCACUAAACCCCCACUGCCGAGCCGCCGUGACACACCCACAACACAAGGUAUAAGAAAGUAUGGCUUUAUAUCCUAGAUUGUGUAAGAAACAUUUUUGUGUUAUGUAUUAUGACUUUGUGUUGAUACAUUUGUGUGUAUAUGGAUAUAGGUUAUUUAGAUGUGUGUACAUACAGAUGUCAGCCCUGUCUCUUAGACCGGGUUCUCAUCUCCGUAGGACCAGGGGCUAUGCUUUACAUUUUUUGGCAAUUUCCAGGGUCCCAAGGACAGGUGAGGGCAGUAAUGUGAGUUCAGAAACGUCCUGCCAAGCCGAGAGCCUCGUGAGUCCUUUGCUUGGUCGCAGAGCGCGUCCUGAGCACAUCGUUGAAGGGCUGCCCCUCACACCUGCCCGCCCAGGUCAUCUCAGCACGGGUGCCCUUCCCCCUCCCCGUUCCUGUGACCCUCAGGAGCUUCUGGUAGAACACUUGCUCUUAUUCCCCGAAGCCACCACGAACCUGUUUUACCACUUUGUCACCCGGUAGCAGCAUGGCAACUUCUUGUCGUUCGCUGACGCUGCAACCCCAAAGCCUCGCCGCCUUUUUCUUCCCCUCCCUCCGCCUGCCCGCCCACCCGUUUGAUGCCAGGCCGGAUAAGACGGCAUCGCCGCUCUGUCUGCCUCCGCCCCUCCUCGGCCGGAAGCCGGCCCCGUGACCGCUUGCGCAGGAAGGGUUCUGCUUUGGUGCCCACCUUGGCAUCGAGGGUUAGGAAUGUCGCCGCCAAAGGCAGGUGGCCUAGGUUCAACAUUUACAAGUGGCUUAACCCCCUUGAGCUUCUGUUCCUUUAUCUGAAAAAGAAGUUACCGUAAACGUGGAGUUGGAAAACUCCACUCAAGCGCAUGACCGUGCCUGGCACACUGGGAGAGCCGGCGAGAGGAAGGGGGUGGUGACUUCUAGCUAUUUGCCUGCUUGGACUUGGGAAGAACUCAGAUGAACUCUGUGUCCCCCCAGGGCUAGAGGCGGUGCUGGGUGAGCUCUGCAGCAGUCACCCCCUUGCAUUGCCUCUACUCCCCGAAGAGCAGUUUUUAUAGAUGAGAGCAGGAGCGGAGCUGAAAACUGACCCAAGACCACCUGGCUUGUGAGCCUCAGAGCCGGGAUUGGAAGCUGGGACUCCUGGAUUUUGAAGCUCAUGUCCUCAUACUUCCCUCCCUGGCAUCAUCCCAAAUAAGACCUUCCCCAGACCCAGAAAACAUAAGGCCCUUUCCUUCUCCCUGGGGACCCUUCCUUUCCAGUGCCUUGCUGGGUUGCAGGGGGAGCCACCUGAUCACUUCUCAGCCUCUCCCUUUGCAGAACCUGGGGGAAGGCGAAGCACAUCCGUAUGUUCACUUCAAGGUCAGCAAACCCAGUGUGGGAAAAAAGAAAGCUGGCCAGGACUGAAGCAGCCCCUUAGAGACUGGAAAGAGCCAUUGAGAGCAGAGCUUGGGAUCUGGCCCUGUCAGCGGCCUUGAGCCCUCGUCAGUGGUAAACUAGACACACUCCCCGUGGGUGGAAGGCGGGACAGUAUCUUCCUGCAGGUCCCCUGCCCAGGUGAGAGGUGUCUGGACAUGACCUAGAGGUGUUGGCUGCUGUCAGAGCCUUCGCCCUGCUUCUCUGUGGCUGCU
ensembl:lncRNA